rnacentral:rRNA from 1 species
UGAGUAACCUGCCCUGGACUUUGGGAUAACCCUCGGAAACGGGGGCUAAUACCGGAUAUGACGGCUCACCGCAUGGUGUGGUUGUGGAAAGUUUUUCGGUCUGGGAUGGGCUCGCGGCCUAUCAGCUUGUUGGUGGGGUGAUGGCCUACCAAGGCGACGACGGGUAGCCGGCCUGAGAGGGCGACCGGCCACACUGGGGCUGAGACACGGCCCAGACUCCUACGGGAGGCA